rnacentral:rRNA from 1 species
GCUCCAAUAGCGUAUAUUAAAGUUGUUGCGGUUAAAAAGCUCGUAGUUGGAUUUCUGUCAAAGGUGAGGUGGUCCAUCUCAUGGAUGUGUAUCUACCAUGCCUUGGCAUCUUCUUCAAGAACGCUGUCGCGCUUCAUUGCGUGAUGCGGAAUUGAAGACUUUUACUUUGAGGAAAUUAGAGUGUUCACGGCAGGCAAUCG